rnacentral:misc_RNA from 1 species
AACAAGGCGUACCUGCGGACCUGCGGAAGGAUCAUUACCGAGUUAGGGUAGUCACUCACUGCCCGACCUCCCAACCCUGUGUCUAUCACACUUUGUCGUUGCUUCGGCGGACCGGUUGACCAACUGGUCAUGACCGCCGGGGGCUGGCUCUGUCCCCCCUGGAGAGCGUCCGCCGAUGGCCCAACCACAAAACUCUUGUACCGAAACGUGUCGUCUGAAUUAUGUUUGAGAAAUCAAAAA